ACAAAGGCUCUUUUAAGAGCCACCAAAACUGCACUCGAACGAGCUC
rnacentral:ncRNA from 1 species